rnacentral:rRNA from 1 species
CGAACGGGUGAGUAACACGUGGGCAACCUGCCCAAAAGAGGGGGAUAACACUUGGAAACAGGUGCUAAUACCGCAUAACCAUAGUUACCGCAUGGUAGCUAUGUAAAAGGUGGCUAUGCUACCGCUUUUGGAUGGGCCCGCGGCGCAUUAGCUAGUUGGUGGGGUAAAGGCUUACCAAGGCAAUGAUGCGUAGCCGAACUGAGAGGUUGAUCGGCCACAUUGGGACUGAGACACGGCCCAAACUCCUACGGGAGGCAGCAG